UACGUAGGGUCCGAGCGUUAUCCGGAAUUAUUGGGCGUAAAGGGCUCGUAGGCGGUUUGUUGCGUCGGGAGUGAAAACCCAGGGCUUAACUCUGGGCUUGCUUCCGAUACGGGCAGACUUGAGGUAUUCAGGGGAGAACGGAAUUCCUGGUGUAGCGGUGAAAUGCGCAGAUAUCAGGAAGAACACCCGUGGCGAAAGCGGCUCUCUGGAACGGUACUGACGCUGAGACGCGAAAGCGUGGGGAGCGAACAGG
rnacentral:rRNA from 1 species